CCCAACCUCGCACGCGUCGCCACCGCCGUCAGCCACCACCAAACUUCGCCGCUUCCCCCUCCCCUUCCUCCUCUCGCGCCUCCACGAACGGCCCUCCCCGUCGGAUUACCGGAUCUGGCAGACGCGUCGGCGGAGACCGAGGCGAGCCUGGGCAACGCGGGAUCGCCGCCAGCGCCACCGUCCGUUCACAUGGCAAACCAGAGUUGUGAUGUGUUUCAGAAACGUGGCCACAGUUUUGCUGAGGAGGGCACAUGCAAAAAGAAGUUAGCUACUUCACCAUCUUCAUCUUUUAGGGCAGACAGACAGGCUUCCUUGUUGACUUCUGAUCUCAUGCCAAGUUGUGAAGGAUUUCAGAAGCAUGGUUAUAACUUAUAAGUUCCCAACAACACAUAUCAGCCCUCGGUUGCUUUACACCACUGUUGCUGAAAGUUGCCCCGGCGAUGAUGGCA